GACAAAGGUGCCGAGCGUUAGGCGGAAUCACUGGGCUUAAAGCGUGUGUAGGCGGGUCCGGCAGUACCCUGUGAAAUCCUCCGGCUCAACCGGAGAACUGCCUCGGAUACUGCGGGUCUCGAGGGUGAUAGGGGUAUGCGGAACUAUCGGUGGAGCGGUGAAAUGCGUUGAUAUCGAUAGGAACUCCGGUGGCGAAGGCGGCAUACUGGAUCACUUCUGACGCUGAGGCGCGAAAGCCAGGGGAGCAAACGGG
rnacentral:rRNA from 1 species